rnacentral:rRNA from 1 species
UACAGAGGUCUCAAGCGUUGUUCGGAUUCAUUGGGCGUAAAGGGUGCGUAGGCGGCGCGGUAAGUCGGGUGUGAAAUCUCGGAGCUUAACUCCGAAACUGCAUUCGAUACUGCCGUGCUUGAGGACUGGAGAGGAGACUGGAAUUUACGGUGUAGCGGUGAAAUGCGUAGAUAUCGUAGGAAGACCAGUGGCGAAGGCGGG